rnacentral:lncRNA from 1 species
GGAGGCGGAGCCAAGAUGGCGACCGAGGGGAGGCGGGAACCGAGAUGGCGGCUGAGGGAGCGUGGAGGCCGUGGGCCCGGCUUCCGACAGCGCGGCGCUGACUGCAGGACGGCCUAAGGAUGUCUAGAGCAACGAAGAGGCCUAAGCGCACCUAUGGGGCGCAGUGAGGUAAAACCGGCCCUGUGACACUGCCACACUCCUCCCACCAGGAGUGAACUGAUGUGAAGUGCCUGGUCCUACACAUGGAAACGCAAAUCCUCCAUUUGUUUUUACAACCACAGCAAUCACCCAUCCCCAGCGGAAGGCCACACCAGACAGUUUAUUUCUAAAUCUUUAUUUGUUUUCUACACGGAGAAAACAGAGGAAUGUUGAAGCAGCAGUACUGAAACACACUAACGAGGAGCCAUCCAUCUGUGAGUGCACACAACAUAGCGCAGGGCCGUCUGUGUGGUGAUCUCUAACGGGAAGCACGAGGGGAGGUCUGGGAGCAGCCUCUGGGCACAGGAGGGAGAGCUCUAUGCAAAGGUGGAACCGUUCCAGCCCACGUUGGCAGCAUUUAUGUCGAAGUAGUUGAUGUAUACCCUGCAGAAGAGGCAUAGGAAUACACAAAAAAAAUGACUCUUAAUAAGUAGUUUGUAUAAGCAAUGAGUGAGACAAGGCAACAGGAUAGAGGAGAGUGUCUCCUGCCUCCCAGAAACAAAAGUUUUUACUGAAGCCUGUUUAACGUGUGUGACAGCCUCCAUCAGCUGAUAUCCUUAGAGCCUCUGGAACUGUCCCUUCUAUCAAAUACAAGCUCUUCAGUCAGGAGCAACUCAGGCACCUUUUGGGUAGCAGCCUGUCCAGAAUUCCAGAGACAAACCUCUUGUUACAGAGCACUGCAGUCUCACACACCAGACCAACACACAGUCCGGCAGGCACUGGCUCUGUGCUUCUUCCUUCCAACACGGGGAUGUGAGAGGCAGCAGGCUGGUCCUCCUCCCUAUCACUGCUGCACGCGGGCACUCCCCAAAGCUCUACCUGUGCAAGAGCUGUGUGCAGCCUGCUAGUUCAUGCUUGCCUGUGUGCUCCAGCCUACUACGUCUCCGCCCUCGUGCUUUCAGGCCCCACCAUGAGGAAACAUCACACCCCAGGAGUGAAUGAAUCUGCAUUGUGGACUCUACCACUCGCCAAUGCUCAGGUGUUCUUUCCUACGAGGCUAAAUGGCUUCCUGGAGAACUUCCAAAGGAAAGAUGGAGGCAACAAACUUUUAAAUGGACGUGAAGAGCUGCAAGAAAUUACUUUGUAUUCUCUCCUGGCUUUUUACAUUUUCAAAUGAAGUUUCCAAAGGAGUCACAGAGCUACAGAUGAAAAGGACCACAUCCCAGCCCUACCUGUCUGCAGACACGUGCAAGUGCUUCGCAAUCAUAUCGCACAGGAGCUUGGUGUAGGUCUUGUUCUGCUGCCCUCCAAUUUUGCCAAUGCUGUAGAGGCUGCAGAGAGCGCAAGGAUCCGUGGAGCCCCCGAAGGACAUCAUCUGAUCAGAUGUUGCUGCAGCAUGAAGUUAGACGUGGAAGAGUCAUGCAGGAAAUUGCAAAGCUGUGGCUUCAAAAUGAUCUCAGAAAGGUUCUGAUCUGGAGAAGACAAGGGGGACUACAGAAGUCGCCAGAACCGUGAGCAUGCUUUAAUGGCUAAAGGUAGAGUGAGCAUAUUGCCAUCCCAACACAUCAGCAUCCCUUAGAAUGCUGACACAUGGGAGCAGUAACAUAAAACUGUGCUGUAGAUUUUGCCAAGAGAGGGUGGGCUUGUUUGUAGGAACAGAUUCUGGGGCCUCAUAGCAGCUGCCAAAAAUCGCUGAUAAGUGAUCCUAAAUACAGAGGAUGGUAACUCCAGCAAUGACCAAGAGCUGGGCAAGAAGAUGUCAUAUGGAGAGCCUGGCCAAGCUCUGCAGGCAACUGCUGCUGUGUAGAAGGGUUGGCAGAUAGCAAAUAGUGGCCUGGGAAACCUGGGAAAAAUGAGAGGAGCUCCUGAGAGCCAUGAUGUCUUCUUUAAGGUUGCUGUAAAUAUUUUAAGACUUUAAGGGGGAAAUGCACUCAACUGCACUGAUGCCACACAGCUGAACUGAGGCAGUCAGAAUAAUUAUCAUGUACAGCUGCCAGCGGGUAGCUGGGUCUUUCAUUAGUUCCAGGACACUCAAGAUCUUGAUGUUUUUCAUUGUUGCCUUCUCUUUCAUGAUGUCAUCAAUCUCUGCUUGGUGAUGGCCUUCACCCCAAAGCUGCCUUAUGGCUGUAGAGGAGAAGGAAAGUGAGACCUGCCAUGUUAAUUUGUCUCUUUUGUUUGGUGACUGAGGAAUUUAAGUGAGUGAUGCAUAUCUCUGUCAGAACAACAUGCAUGGGCUGUGUCUGCAGUGUGAGGCAAAGAUGUCGUAUGGUGUGUUCCGGAGCCCUGUCCCCUCUUUCACAAGAGGGGCUUGUUCAGAGACAGGGGCUUUAGUGAGGAGCACAAUGACUUCCUCCCUGCCCAUGGGUCCACAUUAACCCCUUCCUCAUUCUCUCAGGGUACAAGCUUGGUACACAGCCAACAACAUAGAGUUGAGCGGUGCCUUGUGGAGCCCUGCAGUGCAAACAGCCAUUUGUCAUUUGUCAUUUAUCAUUUAUACUGCUCAGGGCAUAACAGCUUAGUAUGAAAGAUUUUGUAAUACAGGAGUAGUUUCAUGUUCUAUGUGAGGACUAUAACAAAAAUGUACUUAGUGGGUAUUCAGAGUCAUCUCAGAAAUGAGCAGGGAGAAACUUUUUUCUGCACUGGGAGAGAAAACUCACAAACCAACUGAAAGCCAAGUAAGGAACAGGAACACAGAGCACUCAGUUACCUUUCCUGCAGCCUUCCUGGUCUUCUUUAUGCAUGAGGAGAUAUGGCGGGGAUUCAGGGAAGAAGGGCAGAGUGAACAGCUGGACCAGUGCAGGAAUUCCACAGGAGGCCAUCAGCAUGGGCCACCGGGACUGGCUGCCCAGCAGCUCCCUGGCAGGAAUAAAACAAGUGUGUGUAGAAUAAAAGUUCAUUGCAUUGGUUUUUGAGAAGAGAAAUAAAUGGAUGGAAAAGCAGCAGAAGAAGCAAAAGAUAGAAGGAUCCAGAUAUGAACUGGGUCGGAAAUCAGUUGUACUAUACCUUUGUCCUGCAAUUUGCCCUACGGCUUUUCCCAGUGACCAAAAGAAAGAGGCAGUAGAGUUUGCAAAUCCACGUAGCUUCCUAGGGGAAAUUUCCCCAACAUACUGAUGAUGCAGAGGAGUAGAAAAGCCUUGAGGUGAAGAGGAAAUUAUGGGAGAGAAGAAGAAGACAUUCAUAACCAUGGGAAAUAAAACUGAAUGUAAAUUAAUAAGCAGCACUUAUAUAGCUGCCUUGUGCACCAAAUUGUUUCUCAUACCUCAACCUAGGCAUGAGAUUUUUCAGUACUAGGCUUUCUAACCAUUUCUACAGAAAUGGUUCCUGUCCUCUUUGCACAGUGCAGUUUCCUGAUCUUAAGAACUGUACACCUGUGGGGUGUUGCCUCAUCAUGGUGUCUCUUUUGAGUCUUAGUACUUUUUAAAGGAGAAUAUGCAGAAAAUGAGUAAUUUAACAGCGAGAAGUAGUAUUUAAUUUGAUUGCAGUUAAUGUAUAAUCUCAGCCCUGUUUGAAAUGAUGUUAUAGAAGAGCUGGUAUGGUAGAUCCAUUGUGGGUUACAGUAUAUGGUGCUUCAAUGUUGGUUUGUGCAUGACUUGAGAGAAGAUGCAAGUAUUUCUUUUCAAUGUACAGCAAUAAUUUUGAUGAUUUGGAGCAGAGUUGAUGUUUCCAGCUAUCAGUGAAGUACUUAAUAACUCAGAAAUUCUGAAAUCUAGUCUGGGAUCAUGAGUAUUUUCUUUAUAUGAUAGUCACAGCCCCUCUAAUCUGGUUUGAAAACAUUUUCUUCUCCUGUCUUUAUGUGUUGGUAAAAUGGUGGAGAUAUGCAGCCUCCAUAGCAAAAAUUAGGUCUUUACAUAAGACAAGAUAGGGGUUCUAGAUCAUAGCAGGGUGACCGUGGGUGAGCAGUUCUUGAAAUAAUGUUGUUCUUCAAUACAUCUGUAUGUCAGUAACUUACAGAACUUGGUUAUUUGAAAAAUAGACACUAAUUUCUAAUGAAGUCAGUUAAAAAAAAGAAGGCAUCCUCGUGAAUAUCCAAAACUAAAUGGAAAAGCAACAUUUUGCGUAGGAAACAAAUACAAGACAUACUGACACUAGCACAGGUUAUUUUCUAUGCACGUGGACUACCUGCCAGGAGUGAAUUUACUAGAUUGUGUCCAGCUCCUUUCACUAACCCCAGGGACUUACUGCUUUGAAGCAGAUUGAACACCCUUGUAGAACAUUCCUCAAAUAUGCUCAGAGUCAAAAUGAAAUGGCCAUGAUUUUGAAUGGUCUGUUUCUCUGAAGCCAUACGAGAGCACUAGAUUUAAACUAUAUUCCAUAUAAUUUUGAGUACUAUCCAUCAAAAUGAAGGUAAUGCUAUAUCUAUUUCUCCACUAGAAAAGUUUUCAAUUGUAUCAGAACAUUUAUGACAGCUCUGAAUAUUUAUACACUUGGCAAAGCUGAAUUUCAUUUGUUAUCUGCAAAAUUAUUUAUAACUAUACUCCUUAUAGUUGGUUGAUGUAGAAUAUCUUCUGACAAAGGAUCACAGACUUUAAGAUUUUUUCCUCUUAGUGAAGGGUUAUCUAUUUUGAAUAAGGAUGUAAUAUUUAACCUGUGGGAGAAAUCACUUACCUACACUUACACCACAGAGGAAGCGUCCAAUGAGAAUCAUCUCAAAGGACUUGGACAUUUUGCUGCAGCCCAUGAUAGAUGCUGAAGUUAUCAUUAAUAGAUUGUUGCACAGAAUACAUUUUUUUCUGUAAAUGCAAGCACAUGAAACAUUUUUGUAGAUCAGGAGAGAAAUGGCAUUUAAGCUCCUGGAACAUAGGAGCACAGGGUAAAAUCAUCUUGCUCACUUUGUCAACUUAUGCAUAUAUGGUCCAGUACAAAACAAAGUCCUUCUCCUAUUGGUUCUGAACACUCUCUGUCCCUCCUACACAGAAUUAUUGUCAUCCAGCUAGCUCAGGAUCUGAACAGGGAAAAUUCACUAGAGCCAAGGAUAUCUGUUAUAUGGUUGGCAGAGAAAGGUACUGGAAAAAAGGUUACUUCCAGAUUCCCUGGAAGGCAUGUGGGGACACUGUGACUUCUGGGACAGGACCUGCCAGCCUCUACUGUGUCCUUUCUGGGUCACACGUUGAAGUUCAUUUCCCAGUAAACCAGGGAGAGUGAAACAAGGAAGGGGAGCAAUGUGACACUGAUGUAGCACCUAGGAGCAUCUCAACGCUGCUAUAUUUUGAGUAGCAUCUCCAAGAAACCCCUCUGCCUUCAGCUGGGAGCAGCCUUUCCAGUUGAGCCAGCCUUAGUAUGCACAUCUUGUGUGACAAGCUGGAAGCAUACUUGGUUAGCUAGUGACACAGGAUACAGGCAAGAAGCAGCAACUUGGCAUCACUGCCGAGCUGGCUGUGUACAGCUGCUACUGUACCUUUAAAUCAGCUUCACAUUUAAAAACUUUUAAAACCUCAGCAGUGAUUUCCUUAAAUUAAGAUUCAGUUGACAAAUUCUCAUUAAACAUACAUACUUGCCAUACUUGACAGUCAGGUAUCUACUUCCUGAAGCACCCAAAAGACCUCCUAUACCAAGGAUGGACACAAUGAGAGACCACAGGAACAAGAGGUUAUCCUGAUGGAUGGGGUAGCCAUAUCGCUCCAGCCAAGUUUCAUUAAUGAAAGCCUUAACAUGCUGAGACAGAGCAAAAAGGAUCAUUAACAAUAACUGUGACUCCACAGCAUGUAUUUUAUUACAUUUAUAACAUAACUUUGUUGCUUUAGAUAAAAUCUCUAUUUCAUAUAGACUCUAGAAGUUUUCAUUAGCCGGUAGGCAUAAAGUAAUAGAGUAUGCUAUGUUGAUUCUCUUGCUAGGAGAUCAUUCUUUGUUUGGUUGUUCUUGAAAUUUGAGGCACUAAGACACAGACCUGUAAUGAGGAACUGCACGUGAUCACUGCAGUUUCUAAAUCCUUCCUUACUUAGAACUCUGUGCUCUGAAGCCUGAAAGUAACACUUCUGCUAUAAGGUGAUUUCUAUCAUUUGCUAAUGUCCUCCCUUAAGUUCCAGUGUCUCAAAUGGAAGUUUUACCUGUAGUCAGUGGAGAGAAGCAGUUAGAGCACAGUUCACUUGACUUGUUCUGUUUGACUUCCCUAUGUGAAGAUGGGUAAGCUCUGAGAGUGUCAUUUGGUAUCACUGGAGUAGCCACAUGGGACAUCCGUCUCCCUGUAAACUUGCAGCACAUCUGUCAGUGCUUUUUUUGAGCAACAGUUCUAUUAACAAUAAGUUGCAGAUCUCUCUAUUUUCUUCUGUUUUCAACACUUUGACAUGUUCUGCUUUACAGGAUAGCAUAGUAAUGGGAAUUAAUCACAAGAGGAGAAUAUAGUGAUUAAAUCCUUUCUAACUAUCAGAGAGGAGCAUGCCAAGAAAGGGAUAUGGAGUUGGUGAUUCCAUUUGCCAGUCUGCUAUGUGAGCUUUUACCUACCUGAUUCAUGUAGGUGAUGGUAGAAAUUUGAAAGCCAAUUUGGAAUGUUCCACCGAUCCCCAGGACAAUGACCAUUUGGAAGAGUCCCUGGUAUUGUACCUGCAGAAGCAGAAGAAAAUCUUAAGCUUGUAGCUGCAUCAGGCUGCUCCUUAAUUGUGCCUUUCAUUCUCCAGAAACAUCUCACUUGUUCAAGGAUUUUGCAGGUAGGCUCUGACAAAGAUUGAAGACAGAGCAUAAGAAGUGCAAACAUCUGCAAUACCCUGAAAAAGUGUGUAGAAUCACUUCCAAAGUACUUUUUGCAAAUAGGAGCCGUGUUGUUUUGACAGAGAUAGUGAUUUUGUUUUCUUUGAUGCACUGAUAGCACACAAAAAUAUCCCAAAUGUCAGUGCCCCACCACGUACUCACCAGGUCUGAUAGGAAGCCGGUCAUCUCUAGCUCAGGAGCUGGUUGUCCAGUGCACUGAGUGUCUGUGUCGUCACUGGCUUCUGUGUCUGUCUCAUUCCUGCUGGCACGGCAGUGGGCAUUUGGCUUCAGGGAGCAGGGUUAAAUUUUUACUUUUAUGUCUUUGCUCACUUAUAUUUACUUCAGCUGGACAAAGUUAACACUGCUGGAUUAAAUAUUUCAGGAAAUAAUUGCAUCUGGUCCAGUCUGCGGGGGGAAAGUUUCAGAACAGAGGAAGUUUGUAGCUGGCCUUUGGAAAGAGAAAGGAGAGCUCAGGAAAAAAAACAAAUCCAAGUAGUUUUCCAAGAUCAGAAAAGUACUGUAUUUCACUGAUAUGAGCUGAGCAACAUCCCCUAUAAUCUGCUCAAUGGGAAAAGUAAUUAGCAAAAUAUUUAGGUUUUGGUAUUUAUUAAGCAGUAAAGAUUUGGUAUUUGGUUUCCGAUUCACUGGUAGAGUAAAUAGCUUUUAUUAGAUGAAAAAAAAAUAGGCAAAUUCUCAAACACACAGCUCUUCAUUGGGUUUGAGAUAGAAGUAGCACAUUUCAAAUCUUAAUUCAGCUGUUCUGAUUUAUGUACCAUUUAGACUGUCCCAAGGAAGAAUAUUUCUUGUCUUGUGAUUAUGAGAAUGUUGGCCAGGGAUGGUGAGAAGGCACCAGGAGAUGCUGUGCCCUGGCAGAGGCUUUUGGAAUAGAGUGUCUCUUCCUGAAGGCUCCAUGUCAAACCAGUAACUAAAAUCCACUUCCUUAUGGGAGUAAUCAAAGUGAGUAAAUACUCCUUAACGAAGUAGGGCGGCACAGCUGGGUUCUUCAUCCCUCAGGCUUCAGCUCUGAGCGUUACAGACACAGAACCCAGGGUUGCAUCAGCAGAUCCAUUCUAAAGUCACCUUUGGUUCCCAUAGGCUCCACAUUGAUGAUGUGAAACCUGAACUGUAGCUCUACUUGGCUUCUUCUAGAGACCACAUUUGGAAGAAAGAGGUUUGCUUGGCGCUCUUGUAUGUUUGAUGUCCUGUGACAUUCCUGCUUUCAAUGUCUUCUGCUUUCUUUAAGUUGUGCCAGGGGACCUUCCUCCACUGCCAAGGUUUGGGCUGGGUGCAGGUGUGACAAUGGGGUCGUGUUGGAGCCAUCAGUAAAUUCCUAAGUUCGGGACUUGUACUCUUAGUUCAUAAAACACAGAAUGCAAUUAUUGACAGAGGGUUUUACUGCAAAUGCAGCAAGUCUAAAGAAAAGAGAGAAGAAUAGAUGUUAAUAAUAAAACCUUAGUUACUUGUGUAAUUGCAAGUGUUCCUAUACAAUGCAUAGCAAAUGCUGUUUUUCCUGGCUUGCAAUAGCGUUUAGAAUGAUUUAGCACUUUCUAAAGAAUAAGUCCAAUGAGGACAUGUUUUUGGCUUCUCCUUUUGCCCUGUGCAUAUAGCACCUUUAUUGCACUUUGCUGUCAUCCUUUGUAUUUGUGCUUCUUAAUAGUUGUCCAGUACUGCGGUUCUCCUAAUGGAAUUAAUAGCAGUUGGAAAUUAGCAAACCUUACAAACUUACAAAUGACCAUAACAUUCGGCCAAUACCCUCCUGCUGUUCUCUCCAUGGAUGCUGGCUCAGGUGGUUACACUGUGCAGCACAAUUGUCCAGCUCCUAGAGAAUUGCUCACAGCGGUAGGAAGCAGGUUGCAAGUCAGAAUACCAAAUGAGUAACUGUGGCUGUGAUAACUGUAUACCUUGUGACUCAACAAAACUGCUCUGUUGUAUCAGGAAUGCCAAACUGACUGACUCAUUUCUACUUUCACCUAAAUAAUCAGGCCUGACUUUUUUUUUUCUUAACUCCACAAAGAAGAAAUCCUAUUUACAAUACAUUGUCCUUCCACUCUCCUCUGAGAGGAGCCCAGUGGUUUAUCCUAGGUUAGAUUCAAUACUUUCAGUUUGCUAUAAUUAAAAACUCAAAAUGAAAUUCUGAAAAACAAAAUCAUGGAGACUAGAACUAAGGAAGACUUUUUGGAAUAAAAUAUUUCCCAAGUGAAAUCUAUAAAUUUAGCGUAGCUCACACUUUAUGUCAUGAUCACGUAUUCGUUACUAACUCCUGUCAAGUUUUUAUGGUGAUGAAGAUUCCACUUGUGUCUAUGAAGGAGUAUUCAGAUCUUUUCCAAUAAUAGCAAACAAACAUGUUGCCUUUGUUUCAUCUUGCACUCUACAAACAUCAAAGUCCUUAAUGACCAUACUAAAAACAUAGCUCUUCUACUGACCAGCUAGAAGCUGAUGUAGGUGGUACAUUCCUCACAAGUACUUCCUGUAAUGGAAUGAAGUCUCAUCCUAAAAUGUAAAAUGGCAAAUCUUCUGUUAUUUUCAUAAUUGUCUCUGAAAGGAGGAGGUAGAUGAAGAAGAUCCCAGCAAAAAUAAGGAAUCGGGAAGAAUGGAGGUUUUCCUGGAAAUAAACCAGAGAAAGAUAAACAAGGAUAUUUUCAUUUGAUUCUCCUUGAUGCUUCUUGAAUCAUUGAUCAUGAUUUCAUUAAUUAGAAAUCUAACUGCUACAAUACUGAUGCAAGAGUGUAAACAAUUAAGUAUAUCUUCAUCUGGUGUCUGGAAUCAUAUUCAAAACAUUAGUGACUAGUCACUAAUAUUAGUGGUUAGUCACUUACCAUGAUAAAUGGGAAAAGCAUUCCAAAACCAAGGAAUCAUGUCCAGCUGAAACAUCCUUCACAGCAGUCACAGCAGCUGAUGAUCUAGGUGUCUGAUUGGAGAUUUCCCUCAGAGAUGGACUUGGUGGCCCAUAUGAAGAGGAAACAGGCAUGAAGAUGGACACAGCAUGCUGGCUGGUUCUAUUUUGAAUUUUCUAGUUUUCCCUUCAUUUCAUGGUUUAUAAUGAUUCUAUCGCAUUUGUGUGAUGCCACCGUGGCACUAAAUGCUAUGUAUUUAGUCACUCAAUGCUAGUGUUAAAUUUCCUGGUUUCCUCAUACUUGUGUAAAUGAAUUGAAGUCCUCAGACUUAUUGAAUGGAAGUACACUCAUUGUUCCACUUCAAAUCUGCAUAGAGCCCCAUCACUCUCCCUGUGACAGUCAAGUACUGUGUGCUACUACUACUUUUGAGUAAAAGAGAGGCAGAGUGAGUAGUUAAAAAUAAUUUGUUUCUUGCAGAAGUAUGAGAAAGACAGAGGCCUUGGCAUGGGUUAAGACAACAUGCAAACAUUAAUAUUGGUGGGUUAAUCAUAUACUAUCUGGUUUAUCAGUAACUGUGAGAUGUACAGCAAUAGCAAGCAUUUGGGAGAACGGAUCUUGUUGGGUUUGGCACAUUGGUUUUGUAGAGCCUGAGAGAACGAAUGCUUGGAAUUGAAAGAUUCCUUCAGGUAAGAAGUAGUGAUGGUAGCCAGCAAGACUACCCCAAAAAGACUGGUUACUUGCAGGAGGCAGUGGAGCUAAAUCAGAGUGAGCCUACCUAGAGCUCACAAGAGAGGGACAGAUGGACUCAAGGCUCCCACCUGAACGUGGCACUGAGCUGUGCAGCACAGACAAGCAGUCAGUCCUUCUGCAGUGUUCCAGCUGUGCUUCUGCUGACACCUGUUCCUGCAAAAGUACCAGCAAAGCCACAGUGACACUGACUGAGAUCCCAACAGAGGAUUCCUUCCUCUCUGUGUGCUGAAGGCACAUUUUCUGCAUGAAGGUUUGGGAAUCCUGAAAAGAAGAUAGGAAAAGGAGGAGAGUAAAAUCAGAGAGAAGGAAUUGACAAAUGAAAGUGGAAGUUUUCACAGUAGAAUACGCUAAUGAUCUGGUACACUGCCAAUGGUGAACACUGAUCCUAACCUGGAUUUUUCCAUUUGCCUAUCUAAAUAACUACUCUAUGGCAUGUCCAUGCAGCACAUUUCAGACAUAUUACCAUUUGCAAUUGCAUCUCAUUGUGAAAUCUGUGUAAACCAUGAAUAGAACAGCAUAGAAGGACAUUGUUGCUUUCACCUUUGGUCUAAAGCUGUGCUUAUUUUCAAACAUGCAACUUAGGCAUUAGAAAUUCCCCUUUACAACAUCAUUAGGAAAGCUGCAAGUUGUAUAGAAGCACUGCCACAGUGGGAUGAAAAGGUCAUCAUGGCACAAAGAUAAAAAUAAAUGUUUCAUCUUGGAUGCAGGCAGCACUUUGCUAGUGUUUUGGAGGCAUGGAGGCAUAGGGGCACUGCAAUCAGCACUAUUUAUUUACUUAUUUAUAUUGCACUUGCAAAUACGUUUCCUGCAACUCUUUACUCCAAGUAAAGUAAAAUUAAAACUUCACACAUGAUUGUGGCAUCCAGUCCAGCAGUCUUUAGCUACUUCUGUAUGGCAGCAUGUUUGAAAUGGAUGCCAACCAGAAGGUAAUGUUCUAUUCAAGUAUACAGAAGGCUUAGCUGAAGGGAACAGGUCAGUUACACAUGGACCAGAGACCAGAAGCUGUGGUAUUAAGAGAACUGCAGUGAUAUACUAAUUAAAAACACGAGGCGUCUAAUUUUAUAGUUUAUUCCCUUAACAUCACCUAGGGCUACACACAGGGGAAAGUUAACUGUGGUGGAAUAGGAGCAGUUUGGGGGAUUAAAACUACUGCUGAAAAUACGCAACCCAGGUACAGAAAAGACGUGAGAAGUUUGAUGGUGCAAAAAGAUCUGAAACAGAAAUGAAUGCACUGAAUGAAUGCAAAAGGGACAAUAAAGGCCAGAGAAGAGUGAAGGGAGAUGUCUGUGUAAGAAGGAAAGUAGGUACAACAGCAUCUCCUAAAAGAAGUGAUUGCCACUCAUGAGCUAUGUAUGCAACACCAAAGUACCCCUGUAUGCCAGGGCACCUCUGAAAGCUGACAGGUUGAAACCUGGGGGUUCUGCAAAGGUAAGCACACUAGAACCAAGCUUUUGAGAGGAGUCAGCUGAGUGAGCUAAUACAUGGAGUGUUAAUGAAGCUACAAUUGCAAUCUGGAAGAUCAUGGAGUCUAACCCUGAGCAAACAUCAGCUCUGUCUGGGGCUUUGGGAAGGUUAUUUGGUUUCUUUAAGAAUGGUAACUGCAACAGUCAGCUUCUCAAUUCUUUUCCUGGGGAGCUUCUGACAGCUUAAUAUUGACAGGCAAUUCUGCCAGCUGUUGUACUCAGCACUUCUGAGAGGAGUUUUCCAUCCUCUAUGGAAAGGGUGGCUGAUCCCAGGCAGACAGAACUGUCAGACUGAGGAAUUUUUCUGUCAUUUCUUUCCUGCAAAUUCUGCUUUAACAGUCACCUGUCUGAGGCUGAGAUUAAUGUUAACUUCAUAUUAUUUCUGUCGACUAAUGUUUUUUACAGCAAUUACACAGGAUUAAAAACAGAGACAUCAAAUAUUUCAAUGUACUGACGGGAGAGGUCCCUCUAAAUAAGAAGAUUUGGUAGCAUGAACACUCUCUAUUUUGAUAUAGGAAGUGAAAACAGGUGGAAUAUAAAAUCUAAAUCAGGUUUUAGUUGCUGGAACAUGCUUUACUAUCAGAGUUUCUUUUCUGGCCAUUCCUUCAGAAACAGGAAGUAGAUUAUUGGAAAUUUUUAAAUAGAGAACACCCUAAGCUCAACACUGAUUCAGAGUUCCAGCACAAUGAUAAUCAUUGUGAAUGGUAAAGCUGCAGAAAGGCAGGACUUAUGGUCCUCCUAAGCAGGAGAUGUGGUAUAUAUUUGUACCAGUGAUGGAAAAUUGAAAAAUAAUCUGUAGUUUUAUAUAAAGGUAGAAGAGUUUGGGGAGGGAAGUGGUUAAAUGCAGCAGCAAUCACUAGGAUUAACAGCUCCUGGAGGGCAGCAGUGGCAAAGUGUAGUACUGCACGCUGAUGUGCUGAUGUGAUGUUGAGUGUAAUGUGUCCUAAUGCAAUACAGAGCAAGCAGAUAUUUACUACCACAGCUUCUGCUUCUUGUCUUGAGCAGUUACUUAUUUAUGAAGUGGGCUGAAUUUUCCGAGUGCCUGCUCUCUCAGUACUCUUCAAAGUGUCUCACUCCCUGCCUUGCUCCCAGUCCCUCGUCCUCUAGCUCUCAGCACUGCCUGCAUCCUUCUGACUGCAUAGAGCUGUCCACAUGUCAGCCCUGGGAAGUGUCUGUGGCUACAAAUGUCUUCCUGCCAUGGAACUGUUAUAGGAAGGAGGCACUGAGAAGCAGAGAUAAAUAAAAAUAGGAUACUUGGAUUAAUGACAAGCGAUCUGUAGGUUGCUUUUUUUGAUUGUAGUUUAUUGAGAAAAGUCCACGAUAAGGUUUAGCUCUCAGUUUGAUUUUGAGACAGAGCUUUUUGUCAGUGGAAGUUGCUUAUGGUGGCUGGUCAGAGCUUGGUGCAAUAUAUCUUUUCUUCAGUCACGUUAUUCUCCACAGUCUGAUGCCUUUUCUUCUUAUAUCUGCGUGUUUUGAAUUCUUCUGUAAUUUCAAAGGUUGACUUCCCUUUUGUUUCUGGGACGAACAGGUAGAUGAGAACUGAUGAAACUACCAGGACAGCAAUAAAGAUGAGGAAGCAGAAAGGACCAAGAGUCAUCUGGAGAAAAAAGUAGAGUAAGAUGAGUGACUUCCCUGGCAACACUUGCCCCUAUAGAUUCUUGCAAAUUGUUGGCUUGUCCCUAAGAAAUGAGGAAUACAUUUAUUUUAUCUUUUCAGUCUAUUCUUAAGGCAGCAGAGGCUGUCAGAACUCCAGAUAAGUUUUUUAUACGAAUGGUCUCCACUUGCCAUUGGUAAUUAAGCCUUCACAGCUUUGGUCAUCUACAAGAAUUUCAUCUUACUUCCUGUCCAGACCAGCCUAGAAAAACAGUUUAAAUUGAGAGUCGAAGAGGAAAUUUGUAACAAAUUACAUACAACAGCAAAGGGGAAAAUCAUUCCAGUGAAAGCGAGGCCUAGCCAGAUGAUGAUUCCACCAAUUACAAAUGCAGAAGACCGUGCUGAGAGGGUGAAGAUUUCAUUCAUGACAGAUGAAACAGCUCCAGCUGGGGAAAAAAAAACAACAUAAAAAGCAAUAAGAAACACUGUUGUGUGUUUUGUGGAGAUUAGGUUAACUACUCUCCUCAAAGUGAGUAAAUUGUUGUAACUCAUCAAAAACUGCCCCAGUAAAGUCAGACUACUGUGAGAUGACAUGAAUCUAGGCAGCACAACCACCUCUAUCAGAAUUCACCUUCUCUUAAUCAUAAAUUGGAAGUCCUCCAUUUCAGUCCAAACUAAGCUGCUGAUUUACAAAGAUAUAUUCCAUGGCCUGUGUGUACCCCUGUGGUCUAAGUUUUGCUGUUGCUGCUUAUAUUGUUAUACUCACCUGGUCCUAUUCCAUAGGCAAUGAUGAAUAAAAAGAUAAGAAUAACAUUGCAGUAACGCAUCCAGAGGAACCGAUCCUACACAAAGGCAGAGGGAGGGAUGAGAAAUGACAGUUUCAGAGCUGUAGCACAGCUGAUCCAAACAUACUGGAAAAGAGAUGUUGAUGAAAAAGCCCACAGUGCUGAGGAACAGAUUCUCACUAGAACUACUUAUAUUUCUGUACUGAAUGCAGCAGAAGGCCAAAAGUAGCCUGCAGUGUCAUACCUACGGAAGUGAGUUGGACUGUACCCUGCUCUGAAAAAUAAGAAAUGAAUUCCAAGCUAGUUAUAGCAUGGGGAAAAGUGUAACUGAUUCAACCUAAUUGUCUUAUUCAAUUAGACAGCUUCAGAGAAAUGUUUAAAACUUGUGAAUCAGAAGAUAUGUGUGAAACAGAGAGGAGUUAAUAGUUUGUGGGCUGAGACAAAGGUUGAAAUGCAGUGCUAAACGCUGGCAAUAUCAGAGCUGUGUCACUGGGUUCCUCACUCCUUUCCACCACCCAGCUUGGGAGUAGCCAGAGAGCUGCACUGUGUGUGUGCAGCUGGACUGUGUGCCUCAAGGCUGGAAACUGGUAGUGGUAGGAAGUACACACUGCUUCUGUCACAGGCUGCAGGGGAUAGAAACUGGGAAAGGCAACAACAGAGAUGUUAUCUAGGGAUUUAAGGGGCAGCAAAAUGACACAAGAGAGGCUCGGAGAGAUCAGGCAGACAGAGAACUGGAGGAAAGCUAUACCUGACCAAUGGUUUUACAAUAUAUUUUUCACUGGCUGUUUGAAAGAUUGAUUAAAGAUGAAAUACAAGACAUGACAGAGAUAUAGGCCUUGCAAGAGGGGCUGUAAGUUUGUGUUCAGAAGAUAUUCUGACCUGCUCUUUUGGACGUCAGAACUAAGGCUGACUAUGUGCUGUCCUGCACAAAGAUUUCUGAUGCAGGUCCACCCCUAGAGAGACAUUUGCUUACACUCAGUAGAAGGCUUGUUUCAAGCAACACCAGUACCAGUGCCAUCAACAAAUAACCACCCCACAGGAGUAUCCGGCGUCCAAAACGAUCAAUAAUGGAGCUCUGAGAAGCAAAAAAAACACAACCAUAUAUCACUGGGGACAUGGCC